AUGGCGGUCGCCCCUCCUUCGUCGCCGCCUCCCGCCGCCGCCGCCGCCGCCGGCAGCCCGAAUCCUACCUCCACCGAGGGCCAAGGAAAGAUGGUGGUCGCCUCUCCUUCCACGGCGCCGCCGCCCACCGACGCCGACGGCAGCCAGCAGCCGACCUACCCCGAGAUGAUUAAGCAGGCGCUGACGGAGCUGGGAGGCACCUCCGGCCGCAUCGCCAUCGCCGCCUUCAUCCUCGGCCGCUUCAAGGAGGGCCUCCCCGCCGCCCACGACAAGCUCCUCAGGGUCCACCUCCGCCGCCUCGUCUCCCAAGGCGUCGUCCGCGGCUACGGAUCAGAAGCCAGAGCUUGCUACGUCUUCCCGGCCUCCAACACCAAAAGCCGUGGCCGGCCCCGCAAGUCGUCGACCCGCCUCCUCCUCACCGCGUCGCCGACCCUGCCCCUCCCCCUCCCUGCGCCGCCCACCAACGAGUACGAGGAAAAUUUGGAUCUCAGUUUGGAUACAUCUUCUGGAGGAUUACGGAGCAGUCGUGGCCGGCCCCUCUUGCCGGCACUCCCUGCGCCCAAGAAUUUGUUGGAUCUCAGUUUGGUUCCUCAAUCUGGAGGGUCACAGAUUAGCAGUGAUGAUGAUGAUGAUGAUGAUUACUCCACUUCCAGUGAUGAUGAUGAUGAUGAUGAUGAAGAUGACUACAGCAGUGGUGAUGACAAGGAUGAUGAAUACACUCCUGCGCAUGCAUAUGCUUUGAUCGUCCAUGGAGCAAAGCGUGGACGCCCACGCAAGCGCAAGAGGGGGCCAGGCCGUACUCGUAAGCUUCUGCUGUGCGCAAAUUCCUCAGUCACCAAGAAAGGCCGUGGGAGGCCAAGGAAGAAGCAGAAACUUGGCUCGUCACAAGCUGCUUUUCAGAAUGGAACCCCAGGAGGUGGUUUCUCGACGCCCAAGAGAGGGCGUGGGAGGCCGCGAAAGGAUGCACAAGGGCUGUCAACCAGUGUCAAGAGAGGCCGUGGGAGACCGAGAAAGGAUGCACAAGGGCUGUCAACCGGUGUCAAGAAAGGCCGUGGCAGACCGAGAAAGGAGUCACAAGGAAUGUCAACGGGUGUCAAGAGUGGCCGUGGGAGGCCGAGAAAGGAGCCAGAAGAUGGUGUCCCAGAAGCAGACUCUUCUGAAACUGAAUCAGAUGCAGAGUCAGACUCUUCUCUAACUGGGUCAGACACUGAGUCAGGCUCUCCAAAUGUGUCGAGGUGGUUGAAGGAAGGGUUUGGGAAUCCAACAACAAUAGCGACGCCGCCAGCAGCAGUUAGGCCUGCGUCCAGGGGGCUCAAUAUAGGGUCUCUGAGGCCAACAAUAGAGAGGCCACCACCAGCAGCAAGGUCUCCUGGAACUCUUGUUUACUCUGCUGCGUCCGCGGGAAUGAAGAAACCGCUUGGGAGGCCAAGAAAGAAGGGAUCAUCAAAAGCGCCUGCUGAGGCUGCGUCCACGGGGAUCAAGAAACCGCGUGGGAGACCGAGAAAGGAGAGACCACCACAAGCAAUGUCUGCUCAAGCUGGAGAUGCAGCAGCGCCUGCUCCUGAAACUGGAAAUGCAACUCCUGCUCCUGAAACUGGACAUGUGAACCCUGCUUCUGAAACUAGAGAUGCAGCAGCAUCUGCUCCUGAAGCUGAAGCUGGAGAUGCUUCUGAAACUAGAGAUGCAGCAGCAUCUGCUCCUGAAGCUGGAGAUGCAGCAGCGACUGCUCCUGGUGAAAAUGGAGAUGCAGCAGCGCCUGCUCCUGAUGAAAAUGGAGCAGGAACGCCUGCCAAAACUGGAGAUGGUGCGUCGACGGGGAUCAAGAGACCGCGUGGGAGGCCGAGAAAGGAGAGAUCGCCAGCACCAAUGUCUAGAGAAACUGGAGAUGCAGCGCCUGAUGAAAAUGGAGCAGCAACGCCUGCUGAAGCUGGAGAUGCUGCUUCAACUGGAUUCAAGAAACCGCGUGGGAGGCCGAGAAAGGAGAAACCACCUGCAUCAAUCUCUGCUGAAACUGGAGAUGCAACCCCUGCUGGGACUGGUGAUGCUGAAACUGGAGAUGCAACCCCUGCUGGGACUGGUGAUGCUGAAACUGGAGAUGUAACCCCUACUGAAACUGGAGCAGCAACGCCUGCUGAAGGUGGAAAUGCUGCAUCGACAGGGAUCAAGAGACCGCUUGGAAGGCCUAGAAAGGUGAAGAAGUUUGGGAGGCCAAGAAAGGAGAAGCCAGAAGAGGCAACAAUGUCUGAUGAAACUGGAGAUGAUGCUGGAGAUGCAAGGUCUGCUGAAACUGGAGCAGCAACGCCCGGUGGAGACUCUGCGUCGGCGGGGGUCAAGAGAGGGCGUGGACGGCCAAGAAAGGAGAGGCCAGAGGCAGCGAUUUCUGCUGAAAGUGGAGAUGCCGAAACAGAAACAGAAAGGAAGAAGGCAAAAGUAGCAAGGCCGACUGGAGAUGGUGGGAUCAAGAGAGGGCUCGGGAGGCCGAGGAAGGUGAAGCGUGGGAGGCCCCAAAAGGAGAAGCCAGCAUCAGACGAUGCCAUGUCAACGGGAAUCAAGGGACCGCUCGAGUCUCCAAGAUCAUACUAUGCAUUAUCUGCCGGAACUGGAAAAGCCGUGUCAACGGGAACGCUGGAGAGCCCAAGGACGGCGGAGAAGCCGUCGGCAGGCGACAUCGUGUCGAUGGUGAUGAGGAGAAGGCGUGCGAUGCCCAGGAGCGAGCAGCCCUCUGAAGCUGGGCGCGUGAAAUCCUCUGGCGGGAUUUUUGGAUACGUGCGAGAAUCCAGUGGUAAACAAGAGAAAGAGGGCCUGGCAUCACCUGGUGAGGGGGAGAAAACACCACAGACCAAGGAAGGUGUGGUGGCUGCUUUGGGGGGCGGUGAGGAAACUGGGCUUACUGCAGAUGCGCCGGUUUCUGCAGAGAAGGCAAUAGCGGGUGAUGCCGCUGUGGUUGAGGGAACUGGAGGUGCGACUGAAGCUUGUUCUGAUAAGCUGGGUUCUUGUGCAAUUUCAGAGAAGUCGGCGAGUGGUCCUCGGCAUGUGGAGGCUGUAGGAGGUGCGACAGAAUCUUCAUCUAAUAAGCUGGGGCGUGCAGGUGCAGUGGAAGCAGAGAAUGCAGCGGAAGCAGGGAAAGUGGAGAAGGUUGAAUCUGAUAAGAAGCCUCGUGUGGAGGGGGAGGGGGGAGAAGACAAGCUGGGAUCUGCAGAAAGAUGUGUGGUUAGUUGA
rnacentral:rRNA from 1 species